GCUUCGCGGUAGAAAGAGGUGUAGCCCGAGCACAGUACACUUCCUGGAGGCUGAGCAACCGCUUUGUUGUCGGAAUCCUGUACAUCACAAGCUCCCAAUAACAGGAUAUUUUCAAGAUUUUGCUCGUGCAGCUUCUGAUUGGCUGGUCGUGAGUCAACAAACAACAAAGAAAAUCCAUCCGGCAUGCGGCUGCACUGACCACUCUGGCCGGUUACAACGCCUUACACGUCUCCAGUUACACUUCCACCAGCUUCCUCUGGAGAAGAACCCUUUUUUAUCCUUAAAAGUGAUGUUUAAAGGUUUGGAGAUGAACGGAGACUGCGUGGACGCUCGGCGCGAGGACACAGCAGAUGCUGCUGUGGUUGGGGCAUCCGGACUGCAGGCCAUUGAGGUUGAUGCUAAGACUGAGUCACAUGCCUUCAGAUACAGCCUGAACUACCCCAGCAUUGGCCACUGCAUCGUCAUCAACAACAAGAACUUUGAUCCCAACACAGGCAUGAACCAACGCAAUGGCACUGACGUAGAUGCAGGAAAUGUAAUGAAUGUGUUUCGAAAGCUCGGAUACACUGUGAAAGUCUACAAUGACCAGACAGUUGUGCAGAUUAAGCAGGUUUUAACAGCAGUUUCUCGUGACGACCACAGCCACUGUGCUUCAUUAGUGUGUGUGAUGCUCAGUCAUGGAGAUGAGGGAGUGUUUUUCGGCACUGAUAAGUCUGUGGAGCUCAAACAGUUAACUAGCCUGUUCAGAGGAGACCGCUGCCCAUCACUAGUGGGAAAGCCUAAACUUUUCUUCAUACAGGCUUGUAGAGGUACAGAACUGGAUCCUGGUGUGGAGACUGACAGCUCAGAUAAAUCUAUGAGGAUCCCUGUGGAGGCGGACUUCCUCUAUGUGUACUCUACUGCACCAGGUUACUACUCCUGGAGAAACACGAUGACUGGCUCUUGGUUCAUUCAGUCCCUUUGUGAAAUGAUAGCAAAGUAUGGCAAAGAACUAGAGCUCAUGCAGAUCAUGACCAGGGUCAAUCAUAAAGUGGCACUCGACUUUGAGUCGACCUCCAACCUGCCUGGCUUUGACGCCAAGAAACAAAUCCCCUGCAUUGUCUCUAUGCUCACCAAAGAGAUGCACUUCACUGCUUGAAGGGACAAGGGAACUGUUAGAGCUUUUCCAGCUUUUUCUAUCAAUAUCACAGCUAUAGUGUAUGGGUUGAGUUUAAGACCCUUUUUUUCACAGGAGCAUUAGCUGGAUGCUCAGUUUGGGAUUUCGCUGUCUCGGGACUGUUAUUGUAGCUCUCAUUGGCAUUUAAAAUAUUGUACGUGAAUAUAGGUGCUCAGGUUUUUGUUUACCUUGUGACUAUAUACUGUUUUUCGUGUCUUUUGCCUCUGGUUUUCUAAUCCAAAUCCAAUAGUGAACAAUCACCAGUGGCAGGCCAUGUUGGGAUUUUUAGAAUUACAGUAAUCAGGGAUUUUAAUAGGCUAUUGCACUAGUUUGACUGUUGAAAGGGAAUCAGAGUUGGGCAUUAAAUCGGUAAGAUCUGAGAUUCAUCCUAAUUGAAGGAGAGCCAGUGUGCCUAUUUUAAUAUGAAAAGCAAAAAAACAACAAUCGGAACUAUUCCCAGGUGCCUCUCACUGAACCAUGUUAACAGAUUUUGAUAUAACUUCUGAAAUGUCAUGUGUAGGUUUCUAUUAAGACAAAAUGAUGCAUUUUUAUCAGUGGCAUCUGGUGCAUUCCCACAGCAAUGCUUGUUCAAGCAUUGACAGCAAUGGAUUUAAGUUGAAGUCUGGGUUUAACAACCAUCACUGUAGGUGCAUAUAUAAUACACUUUUUGUGGUAAUGGACAUUAUUACCACACUGCUUAAUUUUGUAUUUAAUCUGGAAUGCUCUUUAUUUAGUCCUUUCAAGAUGAUUAUGAACAGCAUGAUAGCAACAGUCAUCUGAGAAAAAUCACAUAAUUAUUUCAGUUCAGGUCAUGCAUGCAUUGUGUGUUAGAUAUGAGAUCCUAAUGUACGCAUACAUUAAAAACAUACUGUUCAUAUUUAUUGCACAAUUUUUUUCUCUCUGUGUGUGUAAACUAGAGCUUUUGUAUGUAAUUAAACAGCUCUGCAGUGCACUGGAUGAUUAGUCAAUCUCUAAGCAAAACGGUACGAGAGGCUGUGGCUUGUUCACAAUACAGCACGCCUGGAGUCCCUUAUUGCUUUUAUAAAAUGGUUACCACAGAGUACAAAUAUUAAAACCAAAAAUGUAUGCAUGCUACUUUUUUGAAGCAAAUUCAUUAAAUUAUAUACUUCCGCUUUUCUGUCUUUUAGUUUGGAAGCAUCAUUACAGUAAAUUAAUGGACAUACAGUAAC